rnacentral:RNase_P_RNA from 1 species
UCAGACGGCCGGGCGGUCGCGGUCUCCGCAAGGAGGUCGAGGAAAGUCCGGGCUCCACGACGACAUGGCGGUGGGUAACGCCCACCGGGGGUGACCCUAGGGAUAGCGCCACAGAGAGCAGACCGCCUUCGCCUCGGACCUCGGUCCGGGAUCGGAGGUAAGGGUGAAAGGGUGCGGUAAGAGCGCACCGGGCCGCUGGUAACAGAGGUCGCAUGGCAAGCCCCGCCAGGAGCAAGACCGAAUAGGGAUCCCGCGCCGGCCAAGUCCUUUUUGGAAACUGGCCGGUAGAGCCGUCGCCGGCUCGAGGGCUCCGGGUAGGUCGCGAGAACCGGCCCGCGAGGGUCGGUCCAGAGGAAUGACCGCCGCGUCCCGCAAGGGGCGGCACAGAACCCGGCUUACAGGCCGUCUGAUCUU